rnacentral:rRNA from 1 species
AGGAUAAACGCUGGCGGCGUGCCUAACACAUGCAAGUCGAACGAGAGUAGCAAUACUCUAGUGGCAGACGGGUGAGUAACACGUGGUCAACCUACCUCUAUGUGGGGGAUAACUAGCCGAAAGGUUAGCUAAUACCGCAUACGAUCGUCGAGCGGCAUCGCUUGACGAUGAAAGGAGCAAUCCGCAGAGAGACGGGACCGCGUCCCAUUAGCUAGUUGGUGGGGUAACGGCCUACCAUGGCGACGAUGGGUAGCUGGCUUGAGAGAGCGACCAGCCACACUGGGACUGAGACACGGCCCAGACUCCUACGGGAGGCAGCAGUGAGGAAUUUUUCCGCAAUGGGCGAAAGCCUGACGGAGCGACGCCGCGUGUGGGAAGAAGGCCUUCGGGUCGUAAACCACUGUCGAAGGGGAAGAUAUUGACGGUACCCUUGGAGGAAGCCCCGGCUAACUACGUGCCAGCAGCCGCGGUAA